rnacentral:rRNA from 1 species
UAGGGAAUCUUCCGCAAUGGGCGAAAGCCUGGCGGAGCAACGCCGCGUGAGUGAAGAAGGAUUUCGGUUCGUAAAGCUCUGUUGUUAGGGAAGAAUGAUUGUAUAGUAACUAUAUACAGUAGAGACGGUACCUAACCAGAAAGCCACGGCUAACUACGUGCCAGCAGCCGCGGUAAUACGUAGGUGGCAAGCGUUGUCCGGAAUUAUUGGGCGUAAAGCGCGCGCAGGUGGUUUAAUAAGUCUGAUGUGAAAGCCCACGGCUCAACCGUGGAGGGUCAUUGGAAACUGUUAAACUUGAGUGCAGGAGAGAAAAGUGGAAUUCCUAGUGUAGCGGUGAAAUGCGUAGAGAUUAGGAGGAACACCAGUGGCGAAGGCGGCUUUUUGGCCUGUAACUGACACUGAGGCGCGAAAGCGUGGGGAGCAAACAGGAUUAGAUACCCUGGUAGUCCACGCCGUAAACGAUGAGUGCUAAGUGUUGGUCUCAUAAGAGAUCAGUGCUGCAGCUAACGCAUUAAGCACUCCGCCUGGGGAGUACGACCGCAAGGUUG